UGAUUAGCAUAUGUAAUUAGAGGGGCGAACCCACCCAUGUAGUAGCUUUUAUAGGCUCUUCUUUCAUCAAAAAAUGUUUAAAGCAGGUCGCAAGCAUGCCCUCUUUAAUUUGUAAGUUACUCCGUAAGUACGAAUCAAGCAGAAGACAUUCGGUCUCUAUAUUUAAUCCAUAGAAUUUUAGCCUCGUUUCAGCAGUGCUACCACUUGGUAGCUCUGCCCUUUUUUUUCAAAGCCCAUUUAAAGCGAUUCGUCCUCGUGUUCUCCGAUCCGACUUCGAGCAUUCGACAACUGGAAUGAAUACGGAAGCAAACGAAACGGCACUCGCCGACGCGAGUUAAACAAAACGGCAGGGAGAAAGAGAGGGUUGGACGAAGACACCGUCCUGAGAACCCAAGCUCUGUAUCUCUCGUGGGCUCCGCCCCUCCUCUUCCCCACCUUAUAAACCUUUCACUCAGAUCUCCUCUUCCUAGGGUUCCUCUUUUUCCAAGGAGAAGAAGGCGGCGAAUUGAAGCCCCGAUCGACGGAUCUCGUCAUCGAAUCACGCCCGUCAUUUAAUGGUGGAGGUCAGAGGU
rnacentral:lncRNA from 1 species